CAAUAGCGUAUAUUAAAGUUGUUGCAGUUAAAAAGCUCGUAGUUGGAUUUCUGUGUCAAGCUUCUGGUCCGCCGCACUGCGGUGCUGACUAAGUUGCGUUGACUCAUCCUUGUGGGAAUCAGUCUGGGCUUCAUUGUCCGGCUGUUGCACCGCAUCUUUUACUGUGAAAAAAUUAGAGUGUUCAAAGCAGGCUUACGCUGUGAAUACAUUAGCAUGGAAUAAUAAGAUAGGACUUUGGUUCUAUUUUGUUGGUUGGAGACCAAGGUAAUGAUUAAUAGGGAUAGUUGGGGGUAUUCAUAUUUAAUUGUCAGAGGUGAAAUUCUUGGAUUUAUGAAAGAUGAACUUAUGCGAAAGCAUUUACCAAGGAUGUUUUCAUUAA
rnacentral:rRNA from 1 species